rnacentral:rRNA from 1 species
AAAUUGAAGAGUUUGAUCAUGGCUCAGAUUGAACGCUGGCGGCAGGCCUAACACAUGCAAGUCGAACGGUAACAGGAAGCAGCUUGCUGCUUUGCUGACGAGUGGCGGACGGGUGAGUAAUGUCUGGGAAACUGCCUGAUGGAGGGGGAUAACUACUGGAAACGGUGGCUAAUACCGCAUAACGUCGCAAGACCAAAGAGGGGGACCUUCGGGCCUCUUGCCAUCAGAUGUGCCCAGAUGGGAUUAGCUUGUUGGUGAGGUAACGGCUCACCAAGGCGACGAUCCCUAGCUGGUCUGAGAGGAUGACCAGCCACACUGGAACUGAGACACGGUCCAGACUCCUACGGGAGGCAGCAGUGGGGAAUAUUGCACAAUGGGCGCAAGCCUGAUGCAGCCAUGCCGCGUGUAUGAAGAAGGCCUUCGGGUUGUAAAGUACUUUCAGCGGGGAGGAAGGUGUUGUGGUUAAUAACCGCAGCAAUUGACGUUACCCGCAGAAGAAGCACCGGCUAACUCCGUGCCAGCAGCCGCGGUAAUACGGAGGGUGCAAGCGUUAAUCGGAAUUACUGGGCGUAAAGCGCACGCAGGCGGUCUGUCAAGUCGGAUGUGAAAUCCCCGGGCUCAACCUGGGAACUGCAUUCGAAACUGGCAGGCUUGAGUCUUGUAGAGGGGGGUAGAAUUCCAGGUGUAGCGGUGAAAUGCGUAGAGAUCUGGAGGAAUACCGGUGGCGAAGGCGGCCCCCUGGACAAAGACUGACGCUCAGGUGCGAAAGCGUGGGGAGCAAACAGGAUUAGAUACCCUGGUAGUCCACGCCGUAAACGAUGUCUACUUGGAGGUUGUGCCCUUGAGGCGUGGCUUCCGGAGCUAACGCGUUAAGUAGACCGCCUGGGGAGUACGGCCGCAAGGUUAAAACUCAAAUGAAUUGACGGGGGCCCGCACAAGCGGUGGAGCAUGUGGUUUAAUUCGAUGCAACGCGAAGAACCUUACCUGGUCUUGACAUCCACGGAAGUUUUCAGAGAUGAGAAUGUGCCUUCGGGAACCGUGAGACAGGUGCUGCAUGGCUGUCGUCAGCUCGUGUUGUGAAAUGUUGGGUUAAGUCCCGCAACGAGCGCAACCCUUAUCCUUUGUUGCCAGCGGUCCGGCCGGGAACUCAAAGGAGACUGCCAGUGAUAAACUGGAGGAAGGUGGGGAUGACGUCAAGUCAUCAUGGCCCUUACGACCAGGGCUACACACGUGCUACAAUGGCGCAUACAAAGAGAAGCGACCUCGCGAGAGCAAGCGGACCUCAUAAAGUGCGUCGUAGUCCGGAUUGGAGUCUGCAACUCGACUCCAUGAAGUCGGAAUCGCUAGUAAUCGUGGAUCAGAAUGCCACGGUGAAUACGUUCCCGGGCCUUGUACACACCGCCCGUCACACCAUGGGAGUGGGUUGCAAAAGAAGUAGGUAGCUUAACCUUCGGGAGGGCGCUUACCACUUUGUGAUUCAUGACUGGGGUGAAGUCGUAACAAGGUAACCGUAGGGGAACCUGCGGUUGGAUCACCUCCUUACCUGAAAGAAGC